UGGUGGAGUGCGGGUCUCUCAGUAGAAUAUGGCGGGUUUGCAGUAGCUUUGUACUAGUAGGCUCAUUUAUCGGGGUGGGCGGACGAUUAUUAUGACUACUGUUGUUAUUUUCCUCUUCCCCCUAAUUUAAAUGUAUUUAAUUGCUACUAAUUUGGAGUCUAGUGAGAGGCACUUGAAAAAUUGCCGGGGGGGGGAAAUACCCAAAACAUUUUUUUCCAAUUUAUUGGGGGAAGCUGGGGACCCCCACUCCGUUUUCUGUAUUCCUUUCCAGACCUUCAUAUCUAUAGGCUUGAGAGGAACUUUUCACUGUGAUGAGGUGGGUCCAUUUCUUCUGGUUAAGGGAGAGUCUUGCUAGUACGUACCGGUACUGUGGUUGCUUUCUCGUCAUAACUCCUAACUCCCCACCACCCCAAUCCUUCAAAUUUUCCCUUUGUAGCAACAGGAGACGUUAGGAAUAAUCAACAUCAUAAUUUGUCAUUUAUUUAUAAGUUAUUAUUUAAACCCUGCCCAUCUGGCUGGAAGAAAUUACAGUACUUGGUAAAAAUUGCCUGGCAACAUUCAUAGCCAAGAAGGCAUAACUUCCUAAGACAGAACUCAAUACUGGUUCUUCAAGCUUGGAAUAUUAGUGCUCCUGGUUACUCAGUACAUUGGAGGCAGCAGUGAGACCUCUGUAAUGUUGCUUGAAGAUGCACCCCCACUUAUGAUAAGACUCACAGGUAGUCGUAAUAUGUGUUUUAUGUUCCCUUUUUUGUUUUGCAGAGGGAAAGGAGAAUUGCUUUUUCCAUAGAUGGGGACUUAAUGACAACAAGGAGUCCCAAACCUAUUGAGGCAUAAAGAAUCUUCCAGGAUAAUCAGGUAACAUUUAAAGCAUUUGUAAAAAUGGCGAAAUUAAGAGCUAAUACUCAUGAACCUCUUGUCCAUGCAAGUAGAUCUGAGUUGCAGGGGGGGCAUGGUUUGUUAUUCUACAAUCCUGUGGUCUUGGGUAGCUGAAAAAAGUACUGCUGUUAUCAUACUGUAUUCAUGUUUUCCUAUUAAAACAUGGUGUCCAUAUGAACAUGUACUAUUGGGUUUGCCCAGAUGGGUAGAAAGUAUUGUGCAUAGUUGACGCACAUAAAGUUUUUUUUAGAUAUGUGCAUGUUAUAUAACAUUUGUACCCUGCUCUCUUAGGUAUUUGGAACAGUGUACAGUAUGUAAUAGUUCCCAUAUAGUUUUCCCAUAUAAGCAGCUUUAGCUUCAGCAGUAGCAUACUGUGCUUUUAUUUAUUUUCCCACCAACCAGUAUUUUUUAAAAGAUAGGUAGAGGUGUACCACUACCACAGUGAGCAUGCUAGAGAGGGAAGUUCAUUUUUAACGGUUGUGUCCAAAAUUAAUCCUGAGCUCUUGAAAUAGAGGUUACUAAUUAAAAGCCAUUUCCUGCGUGUUUCAAGUGUCUUGAGAAAAUUAUGAUUUCCUGCUGGAUUUUUGGGUGGUUUGGGUAUUUGCUGUCUUGAUUUCUGUGAAUUGAUUCACUCGUGUGGAGGAUCGAGUGGAUAAAUGACCAAGCAAAAAAAGGGGAAAUCCCCAGAGAUGGAAAGAAGUCACAAUUCUGACUAAGGAAGAGUGGCAGGUAAAAUUGAUGAAUUCUGCUGAAAUGACAAAACUUACAAGAAUAAUUAGAAACCAGGAAGAGGCUGGCUUUAAUAAAUGAUGGGAAAAGUUUAUAGUUUACUUGAAAAAUUAUUGUAAAUAAUUACAUUCAUUGGUAGGUUUGACAGAAAACUUGUAAAAAUUUGUACUAUGGAUUGGCAAAGGAUUUAUAAUAAUAGAGUUACAGAAGAGAUGCAGAGAGAAAAUCAUUAGAUGAGGAUCCACAACGAGGGGCGGGGAGGGAACUCAAAGGGGAUUUUAUGUUUAUAUUGUGUUUAUUUUUCUUUUGCUUAUUGUAUGUAAAAUUGAAAAUGCUAAAAUAAAUUCUAAAAAUAAAAGAAGAGCCUCUCAGAAAGCGUGGAAUGAACAGAAUAAUAUCUGGACCAAAUGGAAAAAAGGAAAAGGGGAAAUCAUUAUAAAAGUAUAACUUUUGACCAAUCUCUGUAGGACACAUUUUGUAUACUGAUCUUCCUUUUGUAUGAAUAUAAAUAAAUACUUGGACCUUCAAUGAAGUCUUGUGGCUUGAUUUCUAGUUUGUGCCUAGGAAACAGAACUAGCAGUCUAAAUUUUAUUAAAUAUAUUUUACUAAUAUCCCAGCUGUGGAACUGGCAGAUAUGUUAGAUGAUGUAUUCAAAGUACUUGGGAGAAUCUGAAAUAACAUGUACAGUUGGGUAGUAUAAAACAAAUUGUCAUUAAAGUGUGGUAUGAUGGUACACAAGGACAGGAGGAAAGGAAAAACAAGGACAGAAUUAGUCAGGAUGCAAUGCUUUGCCCAGCUGUGGGUUUUAGAUAUUUUUUGUACU